rnacentral:lncRNA from 1 species
AAUAUGCCUUAUGUUCUAGUUCGAGAGGUAAGUGACAUGCUUUUCCAUAAACCAUUUUAUAUGGAGACAUACCCAUAGUAUUUUUGUAUUCAGUUCUAUAGGCCCAUAAUGCAUCAUCAAGUUUCUUGGACCAAUUCUUUCUAGAUCUAUUAACAGUCUUUUGCAAAAUUAAUUUAAGCUCUCUAUUACUCAGUUCUACCUGGCCACUAGACUGUGGGUGGUAGGGAGAUGCAAUUCUAUGAUUAACAUCAUACUUAGCAAGCAUUUUACGAAAGGCACCAAGAAUAAAGUGUGAACCACCAUCAGUCAUUAAAUAUUUAGGGACUCCAAACCUCGAAAAAAUAACUUCCUUAAGCAUCUUAAUAGAGGUGUUAUGAUCAGCACUACUAGUUGGAAUAGCUUCUACCCACGUAGUAACGUAAUCAAGAGCAACUAAAAUAUGUGUAUACCCGAGGAAGGAAACGGUCCCAUAUAAUCAAAACCCCAAAUAUCAAAUGGUUCAAUAACAAGUUAAUAGUUCAUAGGCAUUUCUUGACGUCUACUAAUAUUACCAAUUCUUUGACAUUCAUCACAAGACAAACUUACGGGCAUCUUUGAAGAGAGUAGGCCAAUAAAAACCGGAUUGCAAUACCUUAUGCACAGUUCUAUCUCCAGCAUGUGUCCUCCAUAGGCCUCGGAGUGACACUUGCGUAGGAUCUGUUCCUGUUCAUGCUCAGGCACACAACGUCUAAUAACACCAUCUACUCCUUCUUUAUAAAGGUGUGUGUCAUCCCAGAAGUAAUGUCUUAAAUCAUAGAAAAACUUUUUCUUUUGCUGGUAUGUGAAACUAGGUGGUAUAAAUUUAGCUACAAUGUAAUUAGCAUAAUCAGCAUACCAUGGAGCAGUACGAGAAGCAUUUAUGAUAGCUAAUUGCUCAUCAGGAAAGCUAUCAUGAAUAGGUAGUGGGUCAUCAAGAACAUUCUCUAACCUAGACAAGUUGUCCGCAACGGGGUUCUCAGCUCCCUUUCUGUCAAUAAUGUGCAAAUCAAAUUCUUGUAGCAAGAGAGCCCAUCUAAUAAGUCUAGGUUUAGCAUCUCUAUUUUCCAUAAGGUAUUUAAUAGCAGCAUGAUCAGUGUGAACAGUUACUUUAGAAUCAACAAUAUAUGGUCUGAACUUAUCACAAGCAAAUACAACUGCUAAAAAUUCUUUUUCAGUAGUAGCAUAAUUUCUCUGGGCACUGUCUAGAGUUUUACUAGCAUAUUGGAUAACAUUUAAUUUCUUAUCAACUCUUUAUCCUAGAACAACACCUACAGCAUAAUCACUAGCAUCACACAUAAUUUCAAAGGGUAAAUUCCAAUCAGGUGGCUGAACAAUAGGUGCAAAAAUCAAGGCUUUCUUAAGUAUUUCAAAUGCUUCUACACAAUCAUCAUCGAAGGCAAAAGGAACAUCUUUUUGUAAGAGAUUAGUCAGAGGCCUAGAAAUUAUAGAGAAGUCCUUAAUGAACCUCCUAUAAAAACCGGCAUGACCAAGAAAACUUCUUAUACCUUUAAUGUCCUUGGGACACGUCAUCUUUUCAAUAGCAUCAACUUUAGCUUUAUCAGCUUCAAUACCUCUUUCAGAAAUUUUAUGCCCCAAGACAAUACCUUCAUUAACCAUAAAGUGGCACUUCUCCCAAUUCAAGACAAGAUUAUUUUCUUCACAUCUCUGCAAAACUCGAUCAAGGUUGCUUAAGCAAUCAUCAAAAGAAGUUCCGUAAACGGAGAAAUCAUCCAUGAAAACCUCAACAAUCUUUUCACAAAAGUCAGAGAAUAUAGCAGUCAUACAUCUUUGAAAGGUAGCAGGUGCAUUACAUAAACCAAAAGGCAUACGUCUAUAAGCAAAGGUACCAAAAGGGCAAGUAAAAGUGGUCUUUUCUUGAUCCUCUUUUGACACAGGUAUUUGAGAGAAACCAGAAUAACCAUCUAGAAAGCAAAAAUGUGUAUGUUUGGAUAAUCUUUCUAGCAUUUGAUCAAUAAAAGGUAAACGGUAAUGAUCCUUUUUAGUAGCUUUAUUUAGUUUACGGAAAUUAAUUACCAUUCUAUAACCUGUAGCAAUUCUUUGUGGGAUCAAUUCAUCUUUAUCAUUAGGAACAACAGUAAUACCUCCCUUCUUGGGGACACAAUGGACAGGACUUACCCACUGACUAUCAGCAACCGGAUAAAUUAUACCUGCCUCCAGAAGCUUUAGUAUUUCUUUUCUUACCACUUCCUUCAUCUUAGGAUUUAACCGUCGUUGGUGAUCAACAAGUGGUUUAGCUUCUUUCUCCAAUUUUAUUUUGUGCUGACAUAGAGUGGGACUAAUGCCCUUAAGAUCAUCAAGAGUAUAUCCAAUAGCAGCACGGUGCUUCUUCAGAGUUUUCAAUAAUUUCUUCUCUUCAUGCACUGAAAGGUUAGCACUAAUAAUAACCGGAUAUAUCUUCUUUUCAUCAAGAUAAGCAUAUUUAAGAGUAUCAGGUAAUGGUUUAAGCUCAAACACGGGAUCACCCUUGGGUGGAGGAGGAUCCCCUAGGAUUUCAACAGGCAAGUUGUGUUUCAAAAUAGGUCCCUAUUUAAAAAAUACUUCAUCUAUUUCCCUUCUUUCAUUCAUAAACAUAUCAUUUUCAUGGUCGAGCAAAUAUUGUUCUAAAGGAUCAUUAGGAGGCACGGCAAUAGGAGCAAGACCAAUAAUUUCAUCUUUACUAGGAAAUUCUUUAUCAUGGGGUUGUCUAUGAAAUUUAGCAAAAUUAAACUCAUGAGACAUAUCCCCCAAACCAAUAGUAACAACAUCCUUUUUGCAAUCUAUCCUAGCAUUAACAGUAUUCAAGAAGGGUCUACCAAAUAUGAUGGGACAAAAGUUAUCUUGUGGGGAACCAAGAACAAGAAAAUCAGUAGGAUAUUUAACUUUCCCACACAAGACUUCAACAUCUCUAACAAUCCCAACUGGUGAAAUAGUGUCUCUAUUGGCAAGCUAAAUUGUAACAUCAAUUUCCUCUAUCUCAGCAGGUGCAACGUCAUGCAUAAUUUCUUUGUAUAAGGAAUGUUGUCUUGCACUUGCACUAGCACCCAUAUCACAUAAGCCAUGAUAACAAUGAUCUCCUAUUUUAACAGAAAUAACAGGCAUGCCUACAACAGGUCUAUGUUUAUUUUUAGUAUCAGGUCUAGCAAUUCUAGCAGCUUCAUCACAGAAGUAAAUAACAUGCCCAUCAAUAUUAUCAGCCAAGAGAUCUUUAACCAUAGCAAUACUAGGUUCAACUUUAAUUUGCUCAGGGGGUGUAGGUGUUCUAGUGUUACUCUUACAAACCAUAGUUGAAGCUUUAGCAUGAUCCGUUAUUCUAACAGGGAAAGGUGGUUUCUCAAUAUAAGUAGGAACAACAAGAUCAACAUUAUAAGUGAUAGUCUUUUCUUCAACUUUGAUAGGUGCAACUACUUUUACUUCAAUGGGAGGAUUACAUUUAAACCACUUCUCCUUAGGGAGAUCAACAUGAGUAGCAAAGGAUUCAUAGAAAGAAGCUACUAUCUCAGAGUCAAGUCCAUAUUUAGUGCUAAAUUAACGGAAAACAUCGGUGUCCAUAAAAGAUUUAACACAAUCAAAUUUAGGUGUUACACCUGACUCCUUACCUUCAUCGAGAUCCCAAUCUUCAGAGUUGCAUUUAAUUCUUUCCAAUAAAUCCCAUUUGAAUUGAAUAGUCUUCAUCAUAAAAGAACCAGUACAAGAAGUAUCGAGCAUGGAGCGAUUAUUGAGAGAAAGCCGAGCAUAAAAAAUUUGAAUAAUAAUUUCUCUUGAGAGCUCAUGAUUGGGGCAUGAAUAUAACAUUGACUUAAGCCUCCCCCAAGCUUGAGCGAUGCUUUCUCCUUCGCGAGGGCAAAAAUUAUAUAUAUAAUUACGAUCACGAUGAACCAGAUGCAUAGGAUAAAACUUCUGAUGAAAUUCCAAUUUCAAUCGGUUGUAGUUCCAUGAUCCCAUAUCAUCACAUAGCCUAAACCAUGUCAAUGCCUUUCCCUUCAAAGAUAAAGGGAAGACCUUCUUCUUGAUAACAUCCUCAGGCAUACCUGCAAGCUUAAAUAAUCCACAAACUUCAUCCACAUAGAUUAGGUGCAAAUCAGGAUGUAAUGUUCCAUCUCCUGUAAAAGGAUUAGCUAGCAGUUUAUCUAUCAUACCCGAAGGAAUUUCAAAGUAAACAUUUUCAGUAGGUUCAGUAGGUUGAGGAGCAACUCUUUGCUCUACUGGUCGGGGUGAAGAUACCCCAAAAAGCCCCUCAAAGGAUUAUGUUCCAUAGUAACAAGUGACAGUAAAUUUCAGCACACUAUAUAAAUUUUUCCUUACCAAAUUCUACCUACCAAAGGCGCUUCACUCCCCGGCAACGGCACCAGAAAAGAGUCUUGAUGACCCACAAGUGUAGGGGAUCUAUCGUAGUCCUUUCAAUAAGUAAGAGUGUCGAACCCAACGAGGAGCAGAAGGAAAUGACAAGCGGUUUUCAGUAAGGUAUUCUCUGCAAGCACUGAAAUUAUCGGUAACAGAUAGUUUUAUGAUAAGGUAAUUUGUAACGGGUAACAAGUAAUGAAAGCAAACAAGGUGCAGCAAGAUGGCCCUCCUUUUUGUAGCAAAGGACAAGCCUAGACAAACUCUUAUAUGAAGGAAAACGCUCCCGAGGACACAUGGGAAUUAUCGUCAAGCUAGUUUUCAUCACGCUCAUAUGAUUCGCGUUCGUUACUUCGAUAAUCUGACAUGUGGGUGGACCGGUGCUUGGGUACUGCCCUUCCUUGGACAAGCAUCCCACUUAUGAUUAACCCCUAUUGCAAGCAUCCACAACUACAAAAGAAAUAUUAAGGUAAACCUAACCAUAGCAUGAAACAUAUGGAUCCAAAUCAGCCCCUUACGAAGCAGUGCAUAAACUAGGGUUUAAGCUUAUGUCACUCUAGCAACCCAUCUAGGCCCAAGCAAUGGUGAAGUGUCAUGUAGUCGACGUUCACAUAACACCACUAGAGGAAAGACAACAUACAUCUUAUCAAAAUAUCGAACGAAUACCAAAUUCACAUGACUACUUAUUGCAAGACUUCUCCCAUCUCCUCAGGAACAAACGUAACUACUCACAAAUCAUAUUCAUGUUCAUAAUCAGAGGGGUAUUAAUAUGCAUAAAGGAUCUGAACAUAUGAUCUUCCACCAAAUAAACCAACUAGCAUCAACUACAAGGAGUAAUCAACACUACUAGCAACCGACAGGUACCAAUCUGAGGUUUUGGAACAAAGAUUGGAUAUAAGAGAUGAACUAGGGUUUGAGAUGAGAUGGUGUUGGUGAAGAUGUUGAUGGAGAUUGACCCUCUGCCAAUGAGAGGAUCGAUGGUGAUGACGAUGGUGAUGAUUUCCCCCUCCCGGAGGGAUGUUUCCCCGGCAGAACAGCUCCGCCGGAGCCCUAGAUUGGUUCCGCCUCGUGGCGGCGGAGUUUCGUCCCGAAAGCUUGCUUGUGAUUUUUUCCAGGGUAAAAGACUUCAUAUAGCAGAAGAUGGGCAUCGGAGGCCUGCCAGGGGGCCCAUGAGGCAGGGGGCGCGCCCAGGGGUAGGGCGCGCCCCCACCCUUGUGGCCAGGGUGUGGGCCCCCUCUAGGUUAUUCUUUCUCCAGUAUUUUUUAUAUAUUCCAAAACGUGCCUCCGUGAAGUUUCAUGACUUUUGGAGUUGUGCAGGAUAGGUUUCUAAUAUUUGCUCCUUUUCCAGCCCAGAAUUCCAGCUGCCGGCAUUCUCCCUCUUCAUGUAAACCUUGUAAAAUAAGAGAGAAAAGGCAUAAUUAUUGUGACAUAACGUGUAAUAACAUCCCAUAAUGCAAUAAAUAUCGAUAUAAAAGCAUGAUGCAAAAUGGACGUAUCACCACCGUCGACGACGACUCCUACUACACCGGAGGUGCCUACUACUACGUGGAAGCCGCUGAUGAUGACCAGGAGUAGUUUAGGAGGAUCCCAGGCAGGAGGCCUGCGCCCCUUUCGAUCUGUAUCCCAGUUUGUGCUAGCCUUCUUAAGGCAACCUUGUUUAACUUAUGUCUGUACUCAGAUAUUGUUGCUUCCGCUGACUCGUCUAUGAUCGAGCUCUUGUAUUCGAUCCCUCGAGUCCCCUGGCUUGUAAUAUGAUCCUCGUAUGACUUAUUUUAUUUUUAGAGUUGUGUUGUGAUAUCUUCCCGUGAGUCCCUGAUCUUGAUCGUACACGUUUGCGUGUAUGAUUAGUGUACGAUUGAAUCGGGGGCGUCACAAAAACCAACUUAGGAUUGCUAAGGCCUCUAUGGAUAACAUGUUUUAUGUUGUGUUUACAAAGCCUCACGAUGAAAAUACCUCUAAGAAAGUUAAGAAGAAGGAUGGCAAAACUUACAUCCUUGCUUUAUGCCUAGCUAAGGGCGUAAAACUAUAGCGCUUGUUGGGAGGCAACCCAAUGAAUAAAUUUUAUUUUUGCUUUUUACUUUCUGUUCUUGAGUGUUAGCAAAAUUAUGCUACUGUUAUGAUUGUGUUUUUUGUGUUUUAAUUAGUGUUUGUGCCAAGUAGAACCGAUAGGAUCUUCUUGGGAGAUAGUUGUUUGAUCUUGCUGAAAAAGACAGAAACUUUGUGCACACGAUUUUUUUUCAUUUUUUAGCAGAAAGAGCUUUUGCCCUGAUUCUUUUUGCAGAAGAUUAACAUACAAAUUACCCAGGUCUUCCUAGUUUUUCAGAAAUUUUGGAGUUCCAGAAGUUUUUGAAAAAGUCAGAUGGCUAUAGACUGUUCUGUUUUGACAGAUUCUGUUUUCUUUGUGUUGUGUGCUUAUUUUGGUGGCUCUAUGGUUUUCUUUGCUAAGUUUUUGCCAUAGAAAAGUUGGAAUAUAGUAGAUAUAAUACAAAAACAAAAUAUGAAUUGGUUUCAUACAGUACUUACAGUAGUGGUUUGCUUUCUUAUACUAAUGGAUCUCACAAAGGUUUUGUUGAGUUUUGUGUGAUUGAAGUUUUCAAGUUUUGGGUUAUCUUACGAUGGAUGAAGGAAGGAUGGAAGAGCCUAAGCUUGGGGAUGCCCCGGCAUCCCAAGCUAUUAUCCAAAAAUGAGCAACCAACUAAGCUUGGGGAUGCCCCCGAGUGGCAUCCCCGCUUUCUUCCAGUGAUCAUCGGUAUUUUACUCGAAACUAUAUUUUUAUUCGUCACAUGAUAUGUGUUUUGCUUGGAGCAUCUUGUAUGAUAUGAGUCUUUGCUUGUUUUAUUUUGUGUUUUAAAUCUUGAUCCCUUGCUGGACACACCUAUUUGAGAGAGCCAAAAUUAUGUCAUGACUUGUUAGAAUUGCUCUCUAUGCUUCACUUAAAUUUUUAUGAGCUAUGGACUUGCUCUAGUGCUUCACUUAUAUCUUUUUUAGCACGGUGUGCUUAGUAUUUUUGAAGAAGUGCUCUCUUGCUUCACUUUGAUUUAUUUGAGAGUUAGUAAAAUUUUCAAGAAAUUCUCUCUUGCUUCACUUAAAUUAAUUUGAGAGAAAGAAAAAUUAUGCUCAUGAUCUCCACUUAUAUUUGUUUGAGCUUAUGAAAAGAAACACAUGAAAAUUAGUCCCAAAGUGAUAGAUAUCCAAGAAGGAUAUAAUAAAAACUUUCAUGAAGAUCAUUGGACAAAAUAAACUUGAUUCUUAGUAAUAGUUUUGAGAUAUGAUGAUGUGAUAUGUGAGUUAUGUUGAUGAGUAAUUAUGCUUUAGUAAGAAUAUAGGUGUUAAGGUUUGUGAUUCCCUAUGCAAGUACGAAAGUCAAUAGUCAUGCAAUGAAAAUUAUAUCCUACUUGCGGUGCAUUAUUCGGUGUUAUUUAUGCUUAAUGCUUGCUUAUGAGAUUAUCCGUUUCUUGGUUGGUCGCUUCUCAAUCUUUUGCUAGCCUUCAUUUUGCACCAAGUAUGAUCUCUACUUGUGCAUCCAAAAUCCUUUAAACCAGUUUUGCCACAUGAGUCCACACAUAUCUACCUAUAUGCGGUAUUCUUUUGCUGUUCUAAGCAAAUUUUCAUGUGACAUCUCUAAUUUUCAAAAUAAACUUCUCUUUUGUGUGUUUGUUUCGAGCGGUGAGGGGUGGCUAAUAUUUUCCAUGCUAGAUGUGUUAUUCUCACGAUGAGUGUUUAUUCACUUGUCAUUGCACGAGAUUAAGGAAAAGGUAUUAGGGAUGCCCAGUCCCGAAAUGAAAAAAAUGAAUUUACUUUAUGUUGUCAAAUAAUAAAUUCCUUGAAAAGUGUUAGUAUGGAGGGCAUCCGGGGAUACGGUUAGCCAUGGAAAGUGAAAGUUUGGUGGAAAAAGGAAUAAACUUUAUUUUCUGUUUGGGAACCACCUAUGAUAUAUCUAGCAUGGAAAGUGUUGGGAACUCUAAGUCGUUUUCGUUGGUGGGAUGGAUACACCUCCCAAAAUGUUUUUAUCUCUAAGUUUUUCGCUUUGAGCUCUCGCACCUCUACAAAUCCCUACUUCCCUCUGCGAAGGGCCUUUCUUUUACUUUAUGCAUUUUUUAUUUUUGAGUCUCCAUCUUCUCUUACAAAAGCACCAACUAGGAGGCAAUAUGAUCGUACUUAAGUAUUGGGUGUAGCUAAUAUUCGAGUGUGUUUCAUGAAUGGAUCAAUGUUCGAGCAUGAUGGGCUAGGGAUAAGUUAUUUUAGUGUUGAUAUUUUGAAAGACAUGGUUGCUUGUUGAUAUGCUUGAGUAUCUAUAUUAUUAUGUCAAAACUAGACUAUUGCUUUGAACAAUAUAAAAGUCCAAAUGUCCAUGCUUUAAAGAAAAGAAUAUGAUAUGACAUGCUAGGCAACAUUCCACAUAAAAAAUUCUGUUUAUCACUUACCUACUCGAGGACGAGCAGCAGUUAAGCUUGGGGAUGCUGAUACAUCUCCAACGUAUCUAUAAUUUUUGAUUGUUCCAUGUUGUUAUAUUAUCAAUCUUGGAUGUUUUAUAAUCAUUAUAUAGUCAUUUUGUUUCAUUUUUUGGUACUAACCUAUUGACAUAGUGCCAAGUGCCAGUUGCUGUUUUUCCAUGUUUUUUACAUCACAGAAAAUCAAUACCAGAUGGAGUCCAAAUGCCACGAAACUCCACGGAGAAUUUUUAUGGGCCAGAAGGAACACAACGGGCCCUAGCUACGCCUCGGGGGUGCCCUGAGGGGGGCACAACCCACCAGGGCGCGCCAGGAGGCCCAGGCGUGCCCUGGUGGGUUGUGCCCACCUCGGGUGCCCCCGGACUGCCUCUUUGCUCUAUAAGUACCCCAAUAUUCCAGAAACCCUAGGGGGGUCGACAAAAUAUUCAUCCAGCCGCCGCAGAGUCCAGAACCACCAGAUCCAAUCUAGACACCAUCUCGGAUGGGGUUCACCACCUCCAUUGGUGCCUCUCCGAUGAUGCGUGAGUAGUUCUUUGUAGACCUUCGGGUCCGUAGUUAGUAGCUAGAUGGCUUUCUCUCUCUCGCUGAAUUCUCAAUACAAUGGUCUCUUGGAGAUCCAUAUGAUGUAACUCUUUUGCGGUGUGUUUGUUGGGAUCGAUGAACUUUGAGUUUAUGAUCAGAUCUAUCUUUUUAUAUCCAUGAAAGUUAUUUGAGUUUCUUUGAUCUCUUAUAUGCAUGAUUAUUUAUAGCCUCGUAUUUCUUAUCUGAUAUUUGGGUUUUGUUUGGCCAACUUGCUCUAUUGAUCUUGCAAUGGGAAGAGGUGCUUUGUAGUGGGUUCGAUCUUACGGUGCUUGAUCCCAGUGACAGAAAGGGAAACGACACGUAUGUAUCGUUGCUACUAAGGAUAAAACGAUGGGGUCUAUCUCUACAUAGAUAGAUCUUGUCCACAUCAUGUCACCGUUCUUAUUACAUUACUCCGUUUUCCAUGAACUUAACACACUAGAUGCAUGCUGGAUAGCGGUCGAUAUGUGGAGUAAUAGUAGUAGAUGCAGGCAGGAGUCGGUCUACUAAUCUUGGACGUGAUGCCUAUAUAAUGAUCAUUGCCUGGAUAUCGUCGUGUUUAUUUGAAGUUCUGUCAAUUGCCCAACAGCAAUUUGUUCACCCAGCAUUUGCUAUUUUUCUCGAGAGAAGUCACUAGUGAAACCUACGGCCCCUGGGUCUUAUUUCUCAUAUAUUUGCCUUUGCGAUAUACUUUUCUCUUACAUUUAUUUUAGAUCUAUUAAUCCAAAAAUACAAAAACACCUUGCUGCAUUUUAUUUCUAUUUAUUUUAUUUGCAAUCUAUCUAUCAAUUUACUACAAAUUUAUCUCACGUCCGUUGGCCUAUCUUGAGGCGCCGUACCCCAGAAGGGAUUGACAACCCCUUUAACACGUCGGGUUGCAAGUAUUUGUUAUCUGUGUGCAGGGGUUGUUUACGUUGUGUUUCUUGGUUCUCCUACUGGUUCGAUAACCUUGGUUUCAUAUCUGAGGGAAAUACCUACCGCCGCUGUGCUGCAUCAUCCCUUCCUCUUUGGGGAAAUACCGACGUAGCUUCAAGUGACAUCACAUUGUUCCGGAGAAUGGAGUUUUAGUCAUCUUGCCCAUGAGGCAUGGUUCGCAAGUAUCAAAUUAUUCAUAAUCAAUUGAUUCCAAAAGCCCAUCUGCAUGGAGUUUCUUCAUGCGCUUUACAACAAUAUGACCUAAAUGGCAGUGCCACAAAUAUGUUACACUAUCAUUAUCAACUUUGCAUAUUUUGGCAUCAAUAUUAUGAAUAUGUGUAUCACUACGAUCGAGAUUCAAUAAACCAUUCACGUUGGGUGUAUGACCACAGAAGGUUUUAUUCAUGUAAGCAGAACAACAAUUAUUCUCUGACUUAAAUGAAUAACCGUAUUGCAAUAAACAUGGUCUAAUCAUAUUCAUGCUCAACGCAAACACCAAAUAACAUUUAUUUUAGGUUCAACACUAAUCCCGAAGGUAGAGGGAGUGUGCGAUGGUGAUCGUAUCAACCUUGGAAUCACUUCCAACACACAUCGUCACUUUGCUCUUAACUAGUCUCUGUUCAUUGUGCAACUCCUGUUUCGAGUUACUAAUCUUAGCAACUGAACCGGUAUCAAAUACCCAGGGGCUACUAUGAACACUAGUAAAGUACACAUCAAUAACCUGUAUAUCAAUUAUACCUUUGUUCACUUUGCCAUCCUUCUUAUCCGCCAAAUGUUUGGGGCAGUUCCUCUUCCAGUGACCAUUUCCUUUGCAGUAGAAGCACUCAGUUUCAGGCUUGAGUCUAGCUUUGGGCUUCUUCAUGGGAGUGGCAACUUGCUUGCCAUUCUUCUUUAAGUUCCCUUUCUUUCCCUUGCCUUUUUUUGAAACUAGUGGUCUUAUUAACCAUCAACACUUGAUGCUCUUUCUUGAUUUCUACCUUCGCCGAUUUCAGCAUCACGAAGAGCUCAGGAAUUAUUUUCGUCAUCCCUUGCAUAUUAUAGUUCAUCAUGAAGUUCUAGUAGCUUGGUGAUAGUGACUAGAGAACUCUGUCAAUCACUAUCUUAUCUGGAAGAUUAACUCCCACUUGAUUCAAGCGAUUGUAGUACCCAGACAUUCUGAGCACAUGCUCACUGGCUGAGCUAGUCUCCUCCAUCUUGUAGGCAAAGUACUUGUCAGAGGUUUCAUUCCUCUCGACACGGACAUGAGUCUGAAAUACCAAUUUCAGCUCUUGGAACAUCUUAUAUGCUCCGUGGUGUUCAAAACAUUUUUGAAGUCCUGGUUCUAAGCCGUAAAGCAUGGCGCACUAAACUAUCAAGUAGUUAUCAUAUCGAGCUUGCAAAAUGUUCAUAACGUCUCCAUCUGCUCCUGCAAUAGGUUUGUCACCUAGCGGUGCAUCAAGGACAUAAUUCUUCUAUGCAACAAUGAGGAUAAUCCUCAGAUCACGGACCCAGUUCGUAUCAUUGCUACUAUCAUCUUUCAACUUAUUUUUCUCUAGGAACAUAUCAAAAAUAGGGGAGUGCGGGCUAUUGAUCUAUAACAUAGACCUGCAAAAACUAUUAAGACUAAGUUCAUGAUAAAUUUUAGUUCAAUUAAUCAAAUUACUAAUGAACUCCCACUUAAAUUAACAUCCCUCAAGUUAUUUAAGUGAUACAUGAUCCAAAUCAACUAACCCAUGUCCGAUCAUCACGUGAGAUGGGGUAAUCAUCAAUGGUGAACAUAUCUAUGUUGAUCAUAUCUACUAUAUGACUCAUGUUCGACCAUUCGGUCUCCAUUGUUCCGAGACCAUGUUUGUACAUGCUAGGCUCGUCAAGUUUAAUCCAAUUAUUCUACAUGUGUAAAAUUGUCUUACACCUGUUGUAUGUGAACGUAGAGUCUAUCACACCCGAUCAUCACGUGGUGUCUCGAAACAACGAACUGUAGCAAUGGUGCAUACUCAGGGAGAACACUUUUAUCUUGAAAUUAAGUGAAGGGAUCAUCUUAUAAUGCUACCACCAUUCUAAGCAAAAUAAGAUGCAUAAAGGAUAAACAUCACAUGCAAUCAAAAUAUGUGACAUGAUAUGGCCAUCAUCAUCUCGUGCUUUUGAUCUCCAUCUCCAAAGCAACGUCAUGAUCUCGCGCUUCAACCGAUCAAGUACCGAAUGCACGACACCUCCGCGUUCUGCACAUGUUCAGCUCGGUGAUGUCCCUCGCCUUCUUGAUCCAGCAAGACGUCGAGGUAGUAGAUGAGUUCCGUCAGCACCACGACGUGGUGACGGUGAUGGUGAAGUGAUAUCCGCAGGGCUUCGCCUAAGCACUACGAAAAUAUGACCGGGGGUGUAAACGGUGGAGGGGGCACCGCAUACGGCUAGGCAAUUGUCUGGUGUGUGCUAGGCGCCCCCUCCUCAUAUAUAUAGGUGGGAGGGAGAGGGGAGAGGCCAUGGGGUGCCCCAAGUAGGUCCGAAUCCUACUUGGGCUCCUGCCCUUGGCCACGCCCCCCUGCCAUGUUUGUCGGAGGGGGAAGGAAAGAGGGGGGAGAGGGAAGGAAGUGGGAAUCCUAAUCCAUACUUACCUUUCCCUUCUCCCCUUUCCUUCUCCUCCUUAGGCCGGCCCAUAUGGGGGGUGCAUGAUGACCCAUAAUUAUAGGGGUUCUAUCUUAGUCCUUUCGAUAAGUAAGAGUGUCGAACCCAACGAGGAGCAGAAGGAGAUGACAAGCAGUUUUCAGUAAGGUAUUCUCUGCAAGCACUGAAAUUAUCGGUAACAGAUAGUUUUGUGAUAUGGUAAUUCGUAACGGGUAACAAGUAACAAAAGUAAACAAGGUGCAGCAAGGUGGCCCAAUCCUUUUUGUAGCAAAGGACAAGCCUGGACAAACUCUUAUAUAAAGGAAAGCACCCCCGAGGACACAUGGGAAUUAUCGUCAAGCUAGUUUUCAUCAUGCUCAUAUGAUUCGUGUUCGUUACUUUGAUAGUUUGAUAUGUGGGUGGAUCGGUGCUUGGGUACUGCCCUUCCUUGGACAAGCAUCCCACUUAUGAUUAACCCCCCCUGCAAGCAUCCGCAACUACGAAAGAAGAAUUAAGGUAAACCUAACCAUAGCAUGAAACAUACGGAUCCAAAUCAGCCCCUUACGAAGCAACGCAUAAACUAGGGUUUACGCUUAUGUCACUCUAGCAACCCAUCAUCUACUUAUUACUUCCCAAUGCCUUCCCCUAGGCCCAAACAAUGGUGAAGUGUCAUGUAGUCGACGUUCACAUAACACCACUAGAGGAAAGACAACAUACAUCUCAUCAAAAUAUCGAACGAAUACCAAAUUCACAUGACUAUUUAUAACAAGACUUCUCCCAUGUCCCCAGGAACAAACAUAACUACUCACAAAUCAUAUUCAUGUUCAUAAUCAGAGGGGUAUUAAUGUGCAUAAAGGAUCUGAACAUAUAAUCUUCCACCGAAUAAACCAACUAGCAUCAACUACAAGGAGUAAUCAACACUACUAGCAACCCACAGGUACCAAUCUGAGGUUUUGAGACAAAGAUCGGAUACAAGAGAUGAACUAGGGUUUGAGAGGAGAUGGUGAUGGUGAAGAUGUUUAUGGAGAUUGACCCCCUCCCGAUGAGAGGAUCGAUGGUGAUGACGACGGUGACGAUUUCCCCCUCCCGGAGGGAUGUUUCCCCGGCAGAACAGCUCCACCGGAGCCCUAGAUUGGUUCUGCCAAGGUUCCGCCUGGAGACGGCGGCGCUUCGUCCCGAAAGCUUCCUUAUGAUUUUUUCAGGGAAAAAGACACCUUAUACCAGAAGAUGGGCAUCGGGGGGCUUCCAGGUGGCCCACAAGGCAGGGGGGCGCGCCCAGGGGGGUAAUGCGCACCCUCCACCCUCGUGGAUAGUGGGUGGCCCCCCUCUGGUGCUUUCUUCACCCAAUAUUUUUGAUAUAUUCCAAAACUGACUUUUGUGGAGUUUCAGGACUUUUGGAGUUGUGCAGAAUAGGUCUCUAAUAUUUGCUCCUUUUCCAGCCCAGAAUUCCAGCUGCCGGCAUUCUCCCUCUUCAUGCAAACCUUGUAAAAUAAGAGAGAAAAGGCAUAAGUAUUGCGACAUAAUGUGUAAUAACAGCCCAUAAUGCAAUAAAUAUCGAUAUAAAAGCAUGAUGCAAAAUGGACGUAUCAACUCCCCCAAGCUUAGACCUCGCUUGUCCUCAAGCGGAAUUCGAUAUCGAAAAAUAUGUGCACAUGUUUAGCGAUAGAGGUGUCGAUAAAAUAAAAUACGGACAUGAGGGCAUCACGAUCAUUCUUAGAAUAGCAACAUAUAUAUAUAUAUAUAUAUAUAUAUAUAUAUAUUGUCAUAUGAUUUCUUAUGCUAAAGUAACAAUCUAUUCACAAUGUAAAGUAUGACUCAGAAACCUCAUUGAAAAACUAGCAAACUAUAAUCUCAGUCAUUGAAGCAAUUGCAAUUUAUCAUAACAUCGGAAAGAUUCAAUAUAAGAGCUUUUCAGCAAGUCCACAUACUCAACUAUCAUUUAGUCUUUCACAAUUGCUAACACUCACGCAAUACUUAUGGGUAUGAAGUUUUAAUCGGACACAGAGAAAGAUAGGGGCUUAUAGUUUUGCCUCCCAACCUUUUACCUCAAGGGUAACGUCAACAAUAAUGCUUUAUGAAAACCCACAUCCAAUUGGAUAUAUAUAUCAGGAUCUUUCCAACACAUAGUGCUUGCCAAAGGAUAAAGUGUAAAAUGGACAGGUGAAGAUCACCAUGACUCUUGUAUAAGGUAUAAGACAAAAAUAAAAGAUAGGCCCUUCGCAGAGGGAAGCAGAGGUUGUCAUGUGCUUUUAUGGUUGGAUGCACAAAAUCUUAAUGCAAAAGAACGUCACUUUAUAUUGCCACUUGUGAUAGGGACCUUUAUUAUGCAGUUCGUCGCUUUUAUUUCUUCCAUAUCACAAGCUCGUAUAAAGCUGAUUUUCUCCACACUAAUAGAUCAUACAUAUUUAGAGAGCAAUUUUUAUUGCUUGCAACAAUGAAAACUUACUUGAAGGAUCUUAUUCAAUCCAUAGGUAGAUAUGGUGGACUCUCAUGGAAAAACUGGGUUUAAGGAUAUUUGGAAGCACAAGUAGUAUCUCUACUUGGUGCAAAGAAUUUGACUAGCAUGAGGGGGGAAGGCAAGCUCAACAUGUUGGAUGAUCCAUGACAAUAUAAUUUAUUUCGGAUAUAAGAAAACAUAACCCAUUACGUUGUCUUCCUUGUCCAACAUCAACUUUUUAGCAUGUCAUAUUUUAAUGAGUGCUCACAAUCAUAAAAGACGUCCAAGAUAGUAUAUUUAUAUGUGAAAACCUCUCUUUCUUUAUUACUUCCUAUUAAUUGCAACAAUGACCAAAACUAUGUUUGCCAACUCUCAACAACUUUUAUUCAUCAUACUCUUUAUAAGUGAAGUCAUUACUCUCCAUAAGAUCAAUAUGAUCUCUUUAUUUCUUUUUAUUCUUUUUUUUUCUUUUAUUCCCUCAAGAUCAUAGCAAGAUAACCAAGCCCUCGACUCAAGACUAAUAUUUAUUAUAUAUAGCUCACGGACUCGAUUACAUAGAUAAGGAUCAACACAAAAACUCGAAGCUAGAUCAUACUAAAGUUUAUUCUACUAGAUCAAGAUAUAACCAAAAGGAUCGAACUAAGAAAAACGGUAAAGAUAGAAGUGUGAUGGUGAUACGAUACCGGGGCACCUCCCCCAAGCUUGGCAGUUGCCAAGGGGAGUGCCCAUACCCAUGUGUUUAUGUCUCUUUCUUCGGAGGUAGUGAUGUAAUAUUUUUGGCGAUGAUGCCCCUUAGGAUACGGUUCUCUUCCUCGAGCUUAUUGACUUGCUGCUUAAGAUCCAUUGUUUCCUUCCGGAGUUUACCCGUGACGGCUAAAGCUUCUUUCACCCAUGGAUGUUGCAUAGCUGCGGGAGAACAAGUAACACUCUUUUUCAUAUUUUCAUAAGAAAGAAAUCUAGCAUUGGGACGGAUGACCGAAUUUGGAAUUGCUGAGCUCUGGAGUUCCUCCAUCAUAAAUCUGGCUUGGAGAUAAGAGGUAACUUCUUGAUCUUCCUCCAUGGCAUCUAUCCUUCUCAAGUCGGCCUCCAUCUCUUCCUCAGUUGAUGGCCCAAAAUGAUUGGCAUCGCUGUUUGCUUUUGCCCACAAUGUCGAGUGAGAUACCCGGCUCUCCCAGACUGACUCUUGAGAAGACAUCUUGAUCUAAUCUGCGGCAGAAUAAACUCAAAACAAAAACAGAGGAUUUUGUUGUGGUACGGCGGUCAAAACCUUCGGGAGAUUAUAUAAUGAAUUUUUACCGACCAAAAGAUGUACCGUGCAAGAAAACGGAGUCCGGAGGGCUCACGAGGUGCCCGCGAGGCAGGUGGGCACGCCCAGGGGGUAGGGCGCACCCUCCACGCUCGUGGAUGCCUCAUGUCCCUUUUGGACUACUUCUUAUUUUCCUAUUUUUUUAAAUAUUCCAAAACGGAGAAAAACUACUAUUAGAACUGUUUUGGAGUCGGUUUACUUACCGUACCACAUACCUAUUCCUUUUCAGAGUCUGAAACGUUCUAGAAAGUGUCCCUUAUGUACUCCUCCGGGGUUACGGUGUCAAUAACAUUGGUUUCAACAUUUAUGGGAUUACCUGAGAUAUAAUGUUUGAUUCUUUGACCGUUCACCACCUUCGGAUUUGUGCCUUCGAAGUUGUUGAUUUUUAUGGCACCGGAAUGAUAGACCUCCUCGACAACGUAAGGACCUUCCCAUUUAGAGAGGAGUUUUCCUGCAAAAAAUCUUAAACAAGAGUUGUAUAACAAAACAUAAUCACCUACAUUAAACUCACGCUUUUGUAUCCUUUUGUCAUGCCAUCUUUUAACUUUUUCAUUAAACAGUUUGGCAUUCUCAUAGGCCUGGGUUCUCCACUCAUCAAGUGAGCUAAUGUCAAAUAGUCUCUUCUCACCGGCAAGUUUGAAAUCAUAAUUGAGCUCUUUAAUGGCCCAAUAUGCCUUAUGUUCUAGUUCGAAAGGUAAGUGACAUGCUUUUCCAUAAACCAUUUUAUACGGAGACAUACCCAUAGGAUUUUUAUAUGCAGUUCUAUAGGCCCAUAAUGCAUCAUCAAGUUUCUUGGACCAAUUCUUUCUAGAUCUAUUAACAGUCUUUUGCAAAAUUAAUUUAAUCUCUCUAUUACUCGGUUCUACUUGACCAAUAGACUAUGGGUGGUAUGGAGAUGCAAUUCUAUGAUUAACAUCAUACUUAGCAAGCAUUUUAAGAAAAGCACCAUGAAUAAAAUGUGAACCACCAUCAGUCAUUAAGUAUCUAGGGGCUCCAAACAUCAGAAAAAUAACUUCUUUAAGCAUCUUAAUAGAGGUGUUAUGAUCAGCACUACUAGUUGGAAUAGCUUCUACCCACUUAGUAACGUAAUCAACAACAACUAAAAUAUGUGUAUACCCAUUAGAGGAAGGAAACGGUCCCAUAUAAUCAAAGCCCCAAACAUCAAAUGGUUCAAUAACAAGUGAAUAGUUCAUAGGCAUUUCUUGACGUCUACUAAUAUUACCAAUUCUUCGACAUUCGUCACAAGACAAACUUACGGGCAUCUUUGAAAAGAGUAGGCCAAUAAAAACCGGAUUGCAAUACCUUAUGUGCAGUUCUAUCUCCAGCGUGGUGUCCUCCAUAAGCCUCGGAGUGACACUUGCGUAGGAUAUGUUCUUGUUCAUG